UGGGCCUCUCUUUCUCCCACCGUCACCUGAACAUGGGUCCUGAGGAUGUCUCUGCAGAAGGCAGGGAGGAUGAAGAACACUGGCCCGUCCCUGCCCGGUGCAGUCUCUCAGUCAGUUCUUUGACAGCCCAGAGACCGAGCCCACAGGGGCUCCCAGGAAUUGCUCGCUCAGUGGAAUAGAGGCAAGAAGGAAUGGAACAGCCCAGCCUCCAGUUGCAGUCACCCAGCAAAUCAACAGCCUCUGCGUGCCGGGCCCUGGACCAGCAACGGUGGAGGA